rnacentral:lncRNA from 1 species
GAUCGGAUAAGAAUUAACUGAUCAGACACUGAGUGACAUGGUGAAUUGGUAGGGUUUUCAAAAGAAAAUUCCAACAUUACCCUCAGUCUUCAGAUAUUAGUGACGAUGUGAAAUUAUUUGUGUAAAAUUUUGAGCAAUUUCGUUUGGGUUCUUUUGUAAUUUUGAUAAUUAUUUUAACUCUAUUUUAAUGACCACUUAGGCUUUAAUCCUUUAUUAUUUCCAGUCUUCUCCAGUCCUGUUCUGCAAAACAACACAUUGAUUGCUAAAGAUGCCUGAAAGCCAUGGUAAGAAGAGAAACAGCAUCCUUCGUGAAAUCAUCAAAGAUCUUUCGGCGGGCAAUUACUUAGGCAAAAGUGGAUCUGAAAAGAAGAUAAGUAAGGAUGGGCAAGGAGAUUCUUCCAGCCAAAACCCAGACAAAGCUAGCGACGACUGACACCAAGCCGACGCUUGCGAAAUAAUAAGAAUAAGAUCCAGAUGCUCAUGCUCCUGGAGGUCUGGAGUCACCACCAUAUAUAGUUCUGUACUUCUGUUAGUGAUAGCUUUCUCUCUCUGUUAUUAUAUAUAUAGUUUCUGUACUUCUGUUGGUAAUAGCUUUCUAUCUUAUGUAUGGUUUUAUCAUUGCUUUAAACAACUGAACCGAUUAGUAUAAUUAUCUUAGAACAUACUAAAUCUUUUUAUUCAAAUUUUCCAAAUCUUUAUUUUGAUAGUAGAAUUAUACUAACAAAAAUUUCCAAAAUCCAUCAACAGAAAAUAAUUUUACAUGACAGAUUUAUAAAUACAUCUUCCGUAAUUGAUACGAAAUAAAUUUCAAAAAUCAAAUUAAAUAGUUUAUUUUUCAAAUUAUGGAACCCAAAACAAAAGCUUAAGGAUCCUAAAAAAAUUAAGAUAUGCUGCUUAACAGUAGCAAACACACGGUAUUCUUUAGUAAAAGGCGAAAGAAUAGUUCGCUAUGUAUUCACCACGCAGCUGAUAAUUAAAAAACAAUCUUAGGAAAUCAUUAUAUAGACCAUUGGCUAUUAUGAGUUAUUGAAAUCUUUCGAUGUGGGAUUAAACUCACUAAAAGAAAAAUAAAUUUUCUGAAUUUCGUUUACCCCUUUAAUUUAUGUUAUGUAUCCUUUCAAAUAUUUAAAAUUCAAAAUGUACGUACCGUUUCUAUUACCGCUGCCAUCUGGCAUCAUUAUUGCAUUUCCUUCUUCUUCUGUGAGUGCUUAAUGUUUAUUUUCUCAAGCAUCGUAUAAAACUAGAACGAUUAACGAGCGUGUUAGUGUGAUUUACUUUUAUUUUCAAACAUCGAUUGUAUCCGUCGUUCUCUAGCUAUUUCUCCCCUCUGCCAUCCCCAAUUCCCAAAGCUCAAGUGUUUCUUCAACCUGACGGUACCAUGAAGAAGGAGGCAGUAGAGGCGUUUCAGAUAGAUUUUCGAUUUAUGGGUAUUUCUCUUUUUCCAUUAUUCUCCAAGGUUUUUCAUUUCUUUCCUUCCUUUUGUGCCAAUGGUCCAGAAAUCAGAGGAUGUGUUUUUGUUUGAUCUGUUCUCAUCAAAAUCUCAAUUUGAAAGAGGGUAUGCAUAUUUUGAAACAAUGGAUGUCGUCUGUUCAUAGCUAUCUGGGGCUGUGUGUGUGUUGCUGCUUCUUUUACGGCUGAUUAAACCAUCAUUACAUUGGGGUAUUUGUAACAAUAAAUCAAACUUAUCUUUCAGAAAAUUUUGGUGCUCAUCAAAAACAUGCUACAUCUACCCAAAAAAUCGUGAGCUUACCAGAAUCUCUCAAGCAAGAUACAAGAAACGCUGGAAGGUGUAAUAUUCGAAAGAGUUUAGCCUGGAACAGUGCUUUUUUCACUAGUGAAGGUAUACAGUGUACUUACAGCUAACAAAAAUACUGCAUUAAUUUACCAUGUUUACAAUCAUUCCUCAUUCGAUCUUAUAUUCAGGUAUUCUUGAUCCUGAAGAAUUAGCCACGGUCAAUAGCACUUUCAGAAAAGUGGAUUCAAAUGUUUUGCCUCUAAUUCAAGAAGAUCUGAAUAAAUUAUCUGAUUCCAAUUCUACACUAGAUACUGAUGGGUGGGGAAUUGAUAAUUGUGAAGCUGAACUGUUUGAUAAUGUACGGACUUCCAUUCAAAAAUCCUUUAGUAAACCUAACGAAGAGAAAGUUUUGAGCAGAAAAUUUACAUCUAGACCGCUAGCUACUAAAAGAGGGAUUUUCUGUAAGAAUUUCUGGUCAUGAUACCUCCCAUCACUUUUUUAUUAAUUAUAUCAUGAUUCCAUUUUUUUUUUACUAUGCAGCAUCUACAAGGGCUGAAACAUUUACCAACCCCAUGGUAAAUUGUCUGCAUAACUAGCUUGUAGAGUUAUUUUUCAUAUAUAUUUUAACUUUUACCUCCAAAUAUUAAGUAAAUUCGAUUUACAGUUAAAGCCUCCAGAUUCUACCAAAGUAAUUUCUGUUAGCAAACAUGGAUCAUAUGGAAUCUCUAAAAGGGUAUCACCAUAUUAUCAUAGUAUUUGUGAUUUUGUAUAUACAAUAAAGUUCUUUCCAUUACUAGGAGUCCUGAUGAUUAACUGAUGCAUUCAUAUUAUAUAUUUAUAUAUUGGUAAGGAUGGUGAAAGAAAUGGAUCCAAGCAGCCACCUAGGACGUCGGAUAGUGGACGAAAUGGAUCCAAGCAGCCACCUAGGAUGUCAGAUAGUGGAGGAAAUAGAUGCAAGCAGCCACUUAGGAAAGAUAGCAGAGGAAAUGGAUCCAAGCAGCCAUCUUCAUCAGUAAAGCCACCUAGGAUGGCUUCCAAAAUUUCACCAAGCCAAAGGGUAUCGACUCCAGUAGCAAAAAUAAAGAAUACUGAGAAAACUGUGUCUGGUAAAUACAUUGCAUUUCAGUUCAGUUUAUGCUAUUUUUUUAUAUUAUAUCAUCAUUAUCAUGUCAUUCUAUGUAUAUACUAUAUGCAUAGACUAUAAUAUGAAAUUCAAAAAUUCAAUAUUAGGUUAUAUUUCAUGAACUGUUUAAUGAUUUCUAAGUUUCAAGCUCCAGGUAACUGUCGACGUGAAGUAUCAUCCAAAAUUUAUGGCAGUGCAGUACAGAGCGUUGUAAUGCCCAAAUCAUCUUCUCCCUCGAGACUUGUUCCAUCACCUGCAUUUUCCAAAAAACUCCCAAACACACCUCAUUCUUCGUAUACUAAAUUUGGAUGUACUGCGUCUGAUAUAACAACCAGAAAUUCUCAAGAGUCUUCAAGAAAGAAGCUUUAUUCAAGGAGUGUUGCGACAUCAUUCUCAAACUCACGAGUAUAUUCCCAUUCAAUUUCCUCUAUAAGCAGACAGGAAUCUAGAAACAUUGUUCAUCUACAUCCAUAUUUGAAAUCUUCUUCCAAGUUCUCACUGCAUUCUCCGAACAGUUCAUUUGAUAGUGCCGUUUCACCAUCAUCUUCCUCAUCGACUUCUGUUAGAACCAAAAAAUCUCAAUUUUCUUGUGCCCGAUCUUCAUUGGAUAGCAUCACUUCAAUUGCGUCAGGUAUAGCCAAGUCCAGAAAACAUGAUGGCAACAACUUUGAUAAUAUGGAAUUCAAGCCAUCUGGACUUCGAUUACCAAGUCCUAAAAUUGGAUAUUUUGAUAUGGUUUGUGUUAUCUGCUUGAUGUUAGUUUAUUCCUAUGUGAAGUUUUGAUAAAAUAUUUUACUAAUCAGUGUUCUUUACUUUCCAGGAGAAAUCUAUAAUUGGUAACUCAAAUAGUGGUUCAAAAGUUGGAUUACACACUCCUGG